rnacentral:rRNA from 1 species
GGGUUGUGAGGUUAAGCGACUAAGCGUACACGGUGGAUGCCCUGGCAGUCAGAGGCGAUGAAGGACGUGCUAAUCUGCGAUAAGCGUCGGUAAGGUGAUAUGAACCGUUAUAACCGGCGAUUUCCGAAUGGGGAAACCCAGUGUGAUUCGUCACACUAUCAUUAACUGAAUCCAUAGGUUAAUGAGGCGAACCGGGGGAACUGAAACAUCUAAGUACCCCGAGGAAAAGAAAUCAACCGAGAUUCCCCCAGUAGCGGCGAGCGAACGGGGAGGAGCCCAGAGCCUGAAUCAGUGUGUGUGUUAGUGGAAGCGUCUGGAAAGGCGCGCGAUACAGGGUGACAGCCCCGUACACAAAAAUGCACAUACUGUGAGCUCGAUGAGUAGGGCGGGACACGUGGUAUCCUGUCUGAAUAUGGGGGGACCAUCCUCCAAGGCUAAAUACUCCUGACUGACCGAUAGUGAACCAGUACCGUGAGGGAAAGGCGAAAAGAACCCCGGCGAGGGGAGUGAAAAAGAACCUGAAACCGUGUACGUACAAGCAGUGGGAGCCUCUUUAUGGGGUGACUGCGUACCUUUUGUAUAAUGGGUCAGCGACUUAUAUUCUGUAGCAAGGUUAACCGAAUAGGGGAGCCGAAGGGAAACCGAGUCUUAACUGGGCGUUAAGUUGCAGGGUAUAGACCCGAAACCCGGUGAUCUAGCCAUGGGCAGGUUGAAGGUUGGGUAACACUAACUGGAGGACCGAACCGACUAAUGUUGAAAAAUUAGCGGAUGACUUGUGGCUGGGGGUGAAAGGCCAAUCAAACCGGGAGAUAGCUGGUUCUCCCCGAAAGCUAUUUAGGUAGCGCCUCGUGAAUUCAUCUCCGGGGGUAGAGCACUGUUUCGGCAAGGGGGUCAUCCCGACUUACCAACCCGAUGCAAACUGCGAAUACCGGAGAAUGUUAUCACGGGAGACACACGGCGGGUGCUAACGUCCGUCGUGAAGAGGGAAACAACCCAGACCGCCAGCUAAGGUCCCAAAGUCAUGGUUAAGUGGGAAACGAUGUGGGAAGGCCCAGACAGCCAGGAUGUUGGCUUAGAAGCAGCCAUCAUUUAAAGAAAGCGUAAUAGCUCACUGGUCGAGUCGGCCUGCGCGGAAGAUGUAACGGGGCUAAACCAUGCACCGAAGCUGCGGCAGCGACACUAUGUGUUGUUGGGUAGGGGAGCGUUCUGUAAGCCUGUGAAGGUGUGCUGUGAGGCAUGCUGGAGGUAUCAGAAGUGCGAAUGCUGACAUAAGUAACGAUAAAGCGGGUGAAAAGCCCGCUCGCCGGAAGACCAAGGGUUCCUGUCCAACGUUAAUCGGGGCAGGGUGAGUCGACCCCUAAGGCGAGGCCGAAAGGCGUAGUCGAUGGGAAACAGGUUAAUAUUCCUGUACUUGGUGUUACUGCGAAGGGGGGACGGAGAAGGCUAUGUUGGCCGGGCGACGGUUGUCCCGGUUUAAGCGUGUAGGCUGGUUUUCCAGGCAAAUCCGGAAAAUCAAGGCUGAGGCGUGAUGACGAGGCACUACGGUGCUGAAGCAACAAAUGCCCUGCUUCCAGGAAAAGCCUCUAAGCAUCAGGUAACAUCAAAUCGUACCCCAAACCGACACAGGUGGUCAGGUAGAGAAUACCAAGGCGCUUGAGAGAACUCGGGUGAAGGAACUAGGCAAAAUGGUGCCGUAACUUCGGGAGAAGGCACGCUGAU